rnacentral:rRNA from 1 species
UACGUAGGGUGCGAGCGUUAAUCGGAAUUACUGGGCGUAAAGCGUGCGCAGGCGGUUUUUAAGCCAGAUGUGAAAUCCCCGGGCGUCGACCUCGGGAACGUAGCAUUUGGUAACGUGGAAGACUAGAGUGUGUCAGAGGGGGUAGGAAUUCACGUGUAGCAGUGAAUAGCGUAGAUAUGUGGAGGAAUACCGAUGGCGAAGGCAGCCCCUCGGGAGUAACACUGACGCUCAUGC